AUGAGAGAUUGGUGGGCCGGCAACAUACACAUUCUGUAUGGAUCUACCAAGGCGCUGGCCUCUUUGAUGAUGCUCACAUCAUGGGAGAUUUAGUCAAAACGCAAUGCUAGAGUCUUCCGUAACACGGUCGUCCCUUCGAUGGUUCUCAUUACCAAGAUUAAAGAGGAGGUAUUUCUUUGGGCUUUGGCAGGUGCCAAGCAUUUGGGUAUUGUACUGCCACGACAGUAG
rnacentral:rRNA from 1 species